GUUCCUGAGAGCUUCAAGUGUGUGACUCAGGAGAUUCUGGGUUUGCUUUGCAGCUUUCUGUAACCCCAGUCAUCUCCGUCCCGAACCGGAGAGGACCUCAUUUCCUGCUCAGAGCUCUGCCAACCACAAGGUCUUUUAAUAAGGCUGCCAGGGGAGCCGGGCUGCGGGAAGGACAGUCAGUGUUUGUCACCAGGGAAUGAGCUGGCAUCAUAGCUCCCAUCUGAGUCAACAACCUGGCUAGCCUUGAGCAUGACUUCAUAAAUCAUGGCAUCUAAUUGAAAAGCACAUACUUAUAUACACAGGGCUGCUCAAAAAGAAUCCAAAAAAAAAAAAAAAAAGUAACAAACACUUCUGUUCUUCCCACUAGCCUGUUCAUCAGUCACCUGAUUGUUUCAACUUGCAUUAUUUCACGCGGGAAAAAAAAAAAAAAGGGAAAAUGUAAAACCAUCUUGUAUAGCCACAAUAAAAGUGCAAAUGCAAAAAUUCAUCUCUUAAUGAGAGGCUUAGCCUUUUUCUAACACAACCCUAAUAAUAGGAAAACAAUUUUUAAAUGUUUUUAAUUUAAAUUGUUUUCAUGGUUAAUUCAAAAUCACUGAAUAAUAUUAUCAUGUGUCUAUGUAUCUAUUUGGCAUUGAGGUAUAUGAUAUUUCAAAGCAAUUGAACCACUUUUGAAAGCAAAAAGAGUCCUUUACAAUUCAUGUAUUUGCUUUUUAGAAGUUUAGUACACAUAUGCCAGCCUUCCUUUUUCUCCUCCUUCCAGUCAAAAUGAAAAGUAAAUCUGCGACGAAAGAUUGGUUACGUGCAUUCUGCUUUUCACACACAAAUCUCCUCCUUUAUUUUUUUGCCCACAGGAGCUGAGGGAUAUCCUCGUGUCAGAGACAUCUCCGCAGCCCCGGUCCCUCUGCCAUCUCACCCGGGAGUGCAGAAGCCCAGAAUGAGCGCAGGGCAGUGGCUGAGCAGCAGCUGAAUAUUCAGAUUUCACUCUUCAAGCAACCAGAGAUACUUCGAAACCACGCUAAAGAAGGAUAAGCUUGGAGUGCCCAGUCACCGUGGUAACUGCCAGAAAAAUUCUCCUGAAGUUUGAAGAGGUCAGCUAACGGGGUCAACAACUCUGGCCUCUUUCUGAGCUGGGACUGGCAGGCUCCAUCCUGCGGCUGGGGUGUUAGCGCAGGCUGAGCCCUGGGAGGUGGACCAUUCCAGCUCUGAUAUAAAUUUUUUGAGUCAGUUCACGGCCUGGACUCUCCAGGUGGCCUCCAAAAUCGAUUGUGACCUUGUGACCCUGUCUAACGGAGGCAUAGCAUCCACCCUAAGUAAGGAUUUAGCCAGGAACGACAGCUUUCCACUGAGUGUUAUUGGGGACAGUACAAACAGUUUUGGAAGCAAGGAGGUAGGUAUGAGGAGUUGAGGUCAUUAAAGGCAUAUUAAAAAACAAUUUUAAAAAUCCUUGUUAGUGGAAAGUUUUUAUUAGUGUUAUUCCUUAAAUAAAUUGUUCUGGCAAGGACCCUUAUUUUCUUCCCUAACAACAUCAUACCAAGUAUUUUAGCACAUUCACAUAUGAAAAAUUGCACUUUGUAUGUUCCAAACCGAACUAAUAUUUUGUCUACCUCUGGAUUUUGAACUUGUAAAUGAAGCUGGCAGACGUGUGAUAAAAUAGACGUCUGCGAAGCAUGUUUUUUUCCUUAAUAUCAUAGAAACCAGGAGACUGUUUAUUAAAGCGGGUUGUUUAUUUUAGGAAGUAACUUCUCUGAUAUAUGUGUUCUUUUUAGAUUCAAGAAGCUCUUAAUUGGUGACAUUUUAUUAUUAAACUGGGAAAUGAAGUCACAUUUGGAAUAGCACGGAAUGAAAGUAUGAGUCUUACAGGCUGUUUCCUUCACUGGUUUGUAAUACACACAUACAAGACACAGAUUUGGUUACAUGUUUUUGUAGAAGUAAAUUGUCAUCAUUCUAAGAGCAUAUUUAUAGAAAAAAAAAUCUAUUUUUCCUGUAAGAUUUUAAGCAACAAACCAUCAGGGUGAGGCAGGGACAUGGGGAAGCUGCUGCAGAGGUCUGAUUUUGUUAAAACAAAAUCUAUAAGCAUGCCCUUCCGAGCAAGUGGCCUUGUUAUUGUGCUCCUGGGUAACACUGUCCUGGUUCAUUACCACUUCUACAGAACCUCAGCUCUGCACACACUGCUCACAUGAGUAAUCGGUCAUCAUCAUGUAAGUGGAACUACAUGGUGGAGCAAAGUCCAGUUGCCAAGGUGGAAAAUGCUCUCGAACUUUGAGUGACUUUAAAACUGCUCUGAAGGAAGAAAAUUGCAUUAAUGUUUGUUCCCAGUCUUAGAAAAAUUACACAAACUUAUCCCAGCGGGAAUCUUGCCCAAACACUUCUUGUGCCUCGCAGGAGAGGGCCUGGCUCUGACGUCCUUCUUCCCAUCACUCACCUGCGGAGCAGUUCCCCUUGGGUCAGAGGGCUUGUGCAGAGAUGGGGCUAUUAAAUACGACUCAGAAUGAGAGCCUGAGCCCUCUCCACACUAAAUAACAUGGUACCACUGAGAAGUCCCAUUCGUUACAACAGCGAGAGUCUCUGGCUUUUACUUGCGGUAAAACCUUGCUCUGCACAAAGCCCCCAGAACCAGCGGACGCCUGUUGACCAAGGUCCUGCCUCUCAUAGGGCUGGCGUAAUCUGCCCGGUGGGAUUAUCUGAAGAGCAGGAAUUAAAUUUCCACAAAUAAGGAGGGGGGCAAAACUGUGCCCUAAAAUAAACUGGGGCCCAGAUGUGCACGUGCAGAUAUCAAUGACAACUCUCUAUUUAAUCCCAUCCUAAAUACUAACUCUAGUUUGUUGCUGUUGAUUUUUAAUAGGACUAUGCUGAAAACAAUUUAUUCACAUCAGCGGGAGUGUUGAUUCAGGGGAGUGCCUUGUAUGACUAAGCUUGGCAAGACAGAGCUCACAGUCCUCAGAGAGGACCAGCAUAUUUGCUCAGUUUUCAGAAAAAGCAUUUAAAAAUAGGAAUUGUGAGCAGCUGCAAGGUGAAUACAAAUCUGCAGAAUUUUUAGCAUUUUUUUUUUAAAUAUUCAUACCUCUUUUGUAAUAUGAGCCCCAGUUCUACCUGACAAAUGGAAUGGUUUCUAAAACAGAUGGUACAACCAUCGCAUUGGAACUUUUGGACCAAAAUUGCCCCAAACUUUCCCAAAACCUCAGGCUUGGAACAAGGAAUCACUGGCAGAGAGAAUGACAAGGCGUCUCAAGAUCUUUUACUUGCUGCAAAGUCUUUUGAGUUGAUUUCUGUAGAUCCUAUUGAACUUAUAAUCAACUGAAAACCUACAAAUGUCACUUGAAACUGGUCCUGGGUUUGUAUCUUUUGUAACUUCACCUUUUUCUGUUGAUCAUCUCUAGUACAACUGGGAUGUGGAGGGCAUUAGCAGUUGGUGCAGUGGGGCUAUUCCUCUUCCUCAGCCCUUCCAGAUCCAUGAAGUGCUCGCUCCAAAUCGUUUAAUUCCAUGACAUAUUUUCUGAAGUGCAGGCUUCAGUUUUGGCAGAAUGAUAUACAUGAAUGGGCUUAAUACAGCAUUAGAGAUGAACAGUCAGAAUCACCAAGGGUGCUGGACUGGUGGUUCCCAGCCUCUAUCAUAUGGAUCACUGAUAAUCCAUGGGGCCUUGGGAAGUUUGCUGCAGGUGGUCUGUGGAACUGUAUUAAAUAAUAACGUUCAUAGUCUUCAAUUAAAAUUUUGAUGAGAAGAGUGUGUGGCAGUCUGCACUCAAGUCUGAGAACUGAGAGCGAUCUGCCAGCCUGAAAGGUCUGAGGAUGUCUGCUUUGCAUGAAUGUGUCUCAGCCUGUGGUCCAUCAGGCAUUAGAAAGUAUUUUGAGAAUGCUUUCAAAUUAAAUACAUGUGCAGUAAAUGAACAUGCCUUCUCACUCAUGCAAGCGAGCAAGCAAAAGAAAACAGCAAG